rnacentral:rRNA from 1 species
UACAUGGGGUGCAAACGUUGCUCGGAAUCAUUGGGCGUAAAGCGCGCGUAGGCGGUUACACAAGUUGGAUGUGAAAGCCCUCGGCUUAACUGAGGAAGUGCAUCCAAAACUGUGCAGCUAGAGUACUAAAGAGGGUCGCGGAAUUCCCGGUGUAGAGGUGAAAUUCGUAGAUAUCGGGAGGAACACCGGUGGCGAAGGCGGCGACCUGGGUAGAUACUGACGCUGAGGCGCGAAAGCGUGGGGAGCAAACAGGG